AUUGAACGCUGGCGGCAGGCCUAACACAUGCAAGUCGAGCGAGCGGCGGACGGGUGAGUAAUGUAUGGGGACCUGCCCGAUGGAGGGGGAUAACUACUGGAAACGGUGGCUAAUACCGCAUACCAUCGGAUGAACCCAUAUGGGAUUAGCUAGUAGGUGGGGUAAAGGCUCACCUAGGCGACGAUCCCUAGCUGGUCUGAGAGGAUGAUCAGCCACACUGGAACUGAGAAACGGCCCAGACUCCUACGGGAGGCAGCAGGGGGGAAUAUUGCGCAAUGGGCGCAAGCCUGAUGCAGCCAUGCCGCGUGUAUGAAGAAGGCCUUCGGGUUGUAAAGUACGUUCAGCGGGGAGGCGUUACCCGCAGAAGAAGCACCGGCUAACUCCGUGCCAGCAGCCGCGGUAAUAC
rnacentral:rRNA from 1 species